UACGGAGGAUGCAAGCGUUAUCCGGAAUGAUUGGGCGUAAAGCGUCCGCAGGUGGCUAUGUAAGUCUGCUGUUAAAGCGUGAGGCUCAACCUCAUAAGAGCAGUGGAAACUACAUGGCUAGAGUGCGUUCGGGGCAGAGGGAAUUCCUGGUGUAGCGGUGAAAUGCGUAGAGAUCAGGAAGAACACCGGUGGCGAAAGCGCUCUGCUAGGCCGCAACUGACACUGAGGGACGAAAGCUAGGGGAGCGAAUGGG
rnacentral:rRNA from 1 species